UCCUGGCUGCCUGCUAUUCCUCAGCUGGGGCUGGGGCUGGGGCUGCUGCUGCUCCCUGCGUGAAAAGGGCAACAGCAGCCGCCUCGCCUGGGAGGACCAGCUGAGCGGGGCUCGCAAAUGAGACUCGCCAGCCAGCCAAGCAAGCAAGCAAGCCUUUCUAUGUGCGGAAGAAGAAGAAGCUGAUGACACCACUGCAUGGAUGAUUUUACAUAAUUUACACAUCCUAGAUUCGCAAAAAGCAAUUAUCAUUGUGAAGUAUUUACACUGAUUUAUGGGCAGAAGGAAGCCUAGGAAAGGGAUGCUGAUGUUAUCAACACAGUGGAUUAAGCACACAUUUGCACCUUUAUUGACAUAUAAUUUAUCCAUGCCAAGAAUGCAAUGAGCAGAAGAAUGCUGCUGGAGCAAUGAAGAAGAUGCUACUGGAGCAAUGAUGUGUCACAGGCUAUUAGAUAUGGAUUCCGUCUGGCCAUUCCCCUAUAAAGCACAUCAAUGGAAUUCUACAUCUGAGCUAAAAUAGAAGAUAACAACAUGUACAAUGUUUGUCUGUUGAGACAAUUAGAAGCGAUGGCACACCAGAGUUCCGAAAGGAUUAUAAAAGACAAGGGAGAGAAUUGAAGAUUAUAUAUUUUUUAAAUUUCUCAUUAAUAUUUUCUUACUUAUACUGUGGAUUUUGAGGAAAACGGAUUUCAGGAAACCCAAGGAAUUUUAUUACUGGGAAAUGGAAUCUGGAUUGGAAUCUAGCCAGCACAAAAAACAAAAGCCUGUGACCCAUGGACUAGAAGAUCAAAAAAGAAUACAGUCCUCAACUUACAACUGUAAUUGGGACUGGAAUUUUGGUUACUAAGUGAUGUGGUUGUAAAGCAAGAUAUCACGUGACUGCAUUGCUAAGUGAUGGCAAUCCCAGCAUCCCCUGUUGCCAUUGCUAAGUAAAUUUUAUUCAUUUUUAACUGAAGACCUUUCCCAAUCCAAGCUAUUCCAGGCUUGGGUCUUCCCAGUCCGAAGCCUCAGUAAGAUGUAUCAGAUGACUGAAUAUACAGUGUGUAUUCUUCUGUGACGCUGGAUAGUGUAAUUUUCUUUUGUAAGAUUACAGCCCAUUUAAAUUGCCCAUUGCAAAUCAAUUCCUACAGUGCAAUUUAAUGAAACCUUUUGUCAGCAAUUAAGAUUACUAAUCUAAUAACAUUUUUACAUUACAGUCAUGGCUAAGGCUGGAUCUCUUUUUAAACUGAAGAAAAUGCAGUGUGCAUUUUGAUAACAUUUAUAUCUUUAAAUACUUUUUAAUUUAGUAUUAUUAUUUAGUCAAAUACUUGUAUUUGCUACAAUUGCAUACAGUAUUUCCUUUUAUUCAAAUUUUAUUAAAACAUAGUUACAUCAUGAAUAAAGUAGAAUUUAUUUCAUGAAAACUCUGAAUCUAGAGGUCCUUUUAUAAAAAGUGACUUAGGCCUAUGAUUAUUUAUGAAGCAAAAUAGCAUUCUCAGUUAUAAUCAUGAGCUGAAGAAGCUUCUUGGAUGAGAAGUGAAACUUCUUCAAAGAAAAACCAGAAAGUUCAAUUGCCUCUUGAAAAGAGCAUCUCUGGAACAAUACUAAUCAUGUUUUAGAGACCUGUAGUAUGAGAAUUCAUCCCAUUUCCUCAUCAUUGCAAAAUCAUGUAGCUCUUGAUUGAUCUCAGUUCAUCUUGGAGAAGAAGCUCAAAUCACCUGUUUAGCUCAGGCUGGUAAAGCCUGUUAUUAAGAACACAAAGCCUGCAAUUACUGCAGGUUCAAGCCCGGCCCAAGGUUGACUCAGCCUUCCAUCCUUUAUAAGGUAGGUAAAAUGAGGACCCAGAUUUUUUUGGGGGGCAAUAAGUUGACUUUGUAAAAAAUAUACAAAUAGAAUGAGACUAUUGCCUUAUACACUGUAAGCCGCCCUGAGUCUUCGGAGAAGGGCGGGGUAUAAAUGUAAACAAAAAAAAAAACUUGUCCUCCAUAUGCUUUUUUGUGAGUCUAUGAUUGGCAAUUGAAGUCCCAUGACUGCAAUCUUUUCAUUGCCUUGGAAAAAUAAUCCUGAAAAAAGAUUUAGGUGGAAACAGCAUUGUGGCGUUAUGAUGUUUUGCUCCUUUCCUAUGAUAUUUCAAUGCUACAUGUAUAUUCAAAAGGAAGAUUCACAAUAGCAUUUCAUCAUUAUUAUCAGAUAAUAAUUAUCAGAGGAUAAUUAGAACUGCAGAAAAAAUAAUUGCUACCAAUCUGCUUUCCAUUGAGGACCUGUAUACUGCACGAAUCAAGAAGAGGGCCAUGAAAAUAUUUACAGAUCCCUCACAUCCAGGACAUCAACUGUUUCAACUCCUACCCUCAAAACGACGCUAUAGAGCACUGCACACCAGAACAACUAGACACAAGAACGGUUUUUUCCCAAAGGCCAUCACUCUGCUAAACAAAUAAUUCCAUCAACAUUGUCAAACUAUUUACUAAAUCUGCACUACUAUUAAUCUUCUUAUCGUUCCCAUCACCAAUCUCUUUCCACUUAUGACUGUAUGACUGUAACUUUGUUGCUGGCAAUCCUUAUGAUUUAUAUUGAUAUAUUGACCAUCAAUUGUGUUGUAAAUGUUGUACCUUGAUGAGUGUAUCUUGUCUUUUUAUGUACACUGAGAGCAUAUGCAUCAAGACAAAUUCCUUGUGUGUCCAAUCACACUUGGCCAAUAA